rnacentral:rRNA from 1 species
UACGGAGGGUGCGAGCGUUAAUCGGAAUCACUGGGCGUAAAGCGCACGUAGGCGGCCAGAUAAGUCAGAUGUGAAAGCCCCGGGCUUAACCUGGGAAUGGCCUUUGAUACUGUCUGGCUAGAGUAUGGUAGAGGGGGGUGGAAUUCCAGGUGUAGCGGUGAAAUGCGUAGAGAUCUGGAGGAACACCGGUGGCGAAGGCGGCCCCCUGGACCAAUACUGACGCUGAGGUGCGAAAGCGUGGGGAGCAAACAGG